AUGGAUCCCCUUCUCCUUACUUUAACUGAGUCCAAGAUAGACGUGGAAGAGCACUUUGCUCUAACGCAAGGAAAGCAUUUCACAAGGGAGAGCUGUCGUGAGAGAUUGAGCAACUAGUUUUAUGAUUAAGAGGCCUUUAGUAGGGCUGUCUUUUUUAAUCAAAGUGAGUGAAUUGAAACUUAGAAUACAUGAUGAGAAAAGAGGAGGAAGAAGUGGAGAGCAGGUAUAAAGGGAAGCAAUCCAGGGACAGACUGACUUCAUUUAAGGGACGGGAGGAGGAAGCGUGAAAGGGGAUAAUAGACUUUUAGAGGAGAAGGGGAAUUGCAGUGGUGUCACCUGGAAGGAGACUUUCAAGAAGAAAGAGCUAGUUAACAUUAUGGGCGUUGCCUUGCGGUCAAGGAGGAGGAUGCCUACUGAGAGACUUUCAGUACCAGAAGCAUGCUUAGAACUUGUAUGUAUGGUUUUUAUUUUGUUUUGCUCUAAUAGGAAGCUUAGUUCUAAAUCACUCAGUUUCUUCAAACUUUAACUUGAGGCCAGUGUGUUCCCAAGAUAAGCGGACUGGUUUUCUUUAUCGUGUAGCCCCUGGUAUCCAUCUUCCAGCCAUUUUUCUGUGUUUACAAUUGUGAUUGAUAAAUUAAUGGCUGGAGUUUACCCUUUUGUUUCUGUUCCUGUUCAGCUAUUAAUGGCUUGUGCCAUUCCCUCAUUCUUGACCUGCUCACAUGAAGAUACUCUGACAUUUCUUUUUGAAAACUAAUUAAACGUUUUCUUAAGAGGCACAUAUAACCCUGUAAUGUGAAUUUGUCGAGUAAAUAUGCCUUCAUAUCCCCAAAAGCCUACAAAAUUGUAGAAGUGGGAUCAACAAAUAGUUUGCAUGUAAAAUACUUAUCCUUUAAUUAAAAAUGAACUAAAAAACAAAACCAAAGAAAAAAAAAGUAGUCUGCAGACUUUUGCCUAUAAAUUCAAUACUUGACAAAAUAUUUUAGUAAAGAGAUAGCAAAGGGGUUAUGCCGUUUGAUUAGAGAGGGUGUUGGUUUAUGUG
rnacentral:lncRNA from 1 species